rnacentral:lncRNA from 1 species
GAUGCCCUGCAAUGCCUCAGGACUCUCCAGAAUGUUUUCACCAGCAAAAAGGCCCUCAGCAGAUGCAGCCUCUCGACCUUGAACUUUCUAGCCUCCAAAAUGGACUAUCGGUACUGAAACCCAGCAAGCUGAAAUCAGCAAAACAAGAUGGUCUUGCUAACUUGAGGAAGCUGUAGCAGCUGGAAGCUCCAGAGAGGAGGGGGCUCAGAGUCUGCACAUCAAUGGGGAGACAUCAUUCUGGCUGCAUUAUGAAUGGAUGGUUUGGAGGAAGAAUGUGGAUAGCUAAACAAGAAGGAGAAUAGAAAGAAACUACUCUUAAGACUAUUGCAAUAUCCAGUGUUAUCUCAGGACCAAGGAAUUAAUGGUGCAAUGUGCUUUGUUUCUGACUGCAGACUAUAAUGUUUAUUCCUAUUGGGGGCAGAGCAAGAUUUCAGUUUCUUUUCUCAGCAACAAGAAAAUACUCUGUCUGAAAUCAAGCAACUUCUGGGAAGACCAAGAGUGAUGGAAACUAGAGUUACAAAGCAAAAACCCUACAUCCUGAAUGCCCAGCCCGGUCAAUGAAAUUUUUCUGUCUCAUUUAUCAGCUAACUUGGUCCUCUUCCCCUGGGAACAAAACUGAGAAGGGUUAAGAGAUAAUGUGGAAACAAACUCCCCAGCACUUGCCUAAGAGGGCAGCUGUGUACCCAGACCUUCUUUCCUCUAUGUCAUUGUACUAGAAAGAGAGAGUUCCAUACUCUUUAAUCUGAAUAGUUGGCACUCACUUAAAAAAGAAUGCAGCCUGAUUCCUCUCUGCCCCUCUAGCUAUUUCCAGAAAGUUGUUCAUGGGAUGAAUUGGUAAGUAAAGAAUUCAGACACUGGUUCUGAUUAAGGGAUCUUAUAAAUGAUUUAUAACCUUUGGGAACAUCAAAGACAGCACUCAUAAGCCAGGCAAGCUAAGGGGUGCUCAGGAGUAAAAUGCACCUCCCCAUCUCACAAAUCCAUUGUUUUGAUGAAAGGAUAAGAGGCAGUUGGCCUGGGAAGGUGAAAAGGCAGGAAAAGAGUGGGAAGUCAGCUCCUAGGAUAAUAACCACAUCCACAGGCAUUGUCUCCUUUCACAUAUUUACAGCUUUUCUUUCUUAUCUUUCCACACCUCUAUAUUCAGUUAUGUAUGACCUACUAGCAAUUUACAGCUGCUUUAAAUGCAUACAUUUCAGGUAGGGUGUGUUGACUUAUGCCUGUAAUCCCAGCGCUUCGGGAGGCUGAGGUGGGUGGAUCACUUGAGGUCAGGAGUUCAAGAUCAGCCUGGCCAACAUGGCAAAACCCCAUCUCUACUAAAAAUACAAAAAUUAGCCAGUCUUGGUGGUGCACAGCUGUAAUCCCAGCUACUCGGGGGGCUGAGGCAGGAGAAUGGCUUGAACCCAGGAGGCAGAGGUUGCAGUGAGGUGAGAUCACACCACUGUACUCCAGUCUGGGCAACAGAAAGAGACUCCAUCUCAAACAAACAAACAAACAAAUAAAUAAAUAAAUGCAUACAUUGUAUCAGAAAUUAUCUCCCAUAUUGAUGAGUCUUCCAUGGGCAUCUAAUUUAAAUAUUUUUUUCUGAAAAGCAAAAGGUGCUCUAUUAUGUUGCUGGUGAGAGUGCAAAAUGGUAUAGCCUCUAAAGAGAUUAAUGUAACAAUAACUGUUAGAACCAUAUAUGCAAUCACCCUUUGACCUAGCAACCUCACUUCUAGGAAUUCAUCUUGAAGACAUAUCUCUCUAUAUGUAGGCAAAAUGGAAGCUAUUCAAUGUUACAUUGUUAGUAAUAGCAAGUUACUGUCUAUUUUUGUAUCUUUCAAAUACAUGUCUAUUUAUGUGAAAGGAUAAACUGUGGUUUAUCCACAAAAUGAAUUUUUAUGAAGUUGUAAAAAAGAAUGAGUGACAUGUCCAUGAACUGUCAUGGAGUGAUUUCCAGAACGUAUUUUUAACUGAAAAAAAAAAAAAAUCAAAGUGCAGAAGGGUGUAUAUGCUAUGCUACAUGUGCAUAAGAAAGAAGGAGGAAUGAGAAUAGAUAUCACAAAUUUGCUUACUUUUGUGAAAACAAAAAACAAAUACGAAAGUAGAAAGGACAUAUAGAAACUAAUGAAAAUGGUUAUCCAUUGGGUAGAAAUGGGAAUGGGUGAAAAGCUAAAAUGUUUCACAUAUUAUUUGUAAUUUGAGUUAUGCAAAUGCUGUACAUAUUGAAACAAUAAAACUGAAUUAUUAAAAAUAAAACUAAGGUUAGAAAAGCAAACUCUAAAAUUGAAUAUGAAGAUAAAAAAUGAAUCUGACUUCAUAUUAAAUUGAAUAUAAAUUCAUAUUAAAUUGAAUAUUAAAUUGAAUAUUAAAUUCAUUAAAUUGAAUAUUAAACUGAAUAUUAAAUUCAUUAAAUUGAAUAUUCAUAUUAAAUUGAAUAUUAAAUAUAGCUAUGCAAGGAGAGGAAUUAAUUCACAUACUUUUGAAAACAUUUGUUUUAUCUUAAUAGGGUCCAUUAUAAAAGAAAAAAGAACUGUAAAGAAAUAUUAAGCUGUACAUAACAGUUUAUUGCAGGCUGUAAUAUUGUUUUAAUUCUGAAACUGUUUGAUUUAUAGUAUGUGAAAUAAGUAUAUUACUAAGAGGAACCAAGGGUUUCACUGUGAGAGAUAAAGAAAUAUAAAUAUAACAUUUGAAUAGCUAAAGAAGAAACCAUGUAAUAUCAAAUUUGAAUUAAAAAUAUCAGUGUGAGUUCUUUUUAAUGUCCUUUGUUGUUGUGCAUUGAGUACAAAACUUCUGUAAAUUAAUCUUGCCAGAAAUGUUUAACCUGAACCUAAGCAUGAGAAACCAGUUAGACACAUCCAACUUGUUGGAUAUUAUACAAGACAAGUGGUCUGUUCACUUCUAAAAAAAAGUCAAUAUCAUAAAAAGCAAAACUAAAAACCAAGGAGACUACUAUAAAUUAAAGGAAAUUAAAGAAAAAUAUACAAAAAUUUACUCAAAUGCAUCAUAGAACUAAACAUAAAACUUAAAAUUAUAAGACUUUUAUAAAAAUACAGGAGAAAUUAUUUGUAACCUUUGGCUAGGAUUUCUUAGAUAUGACAUUGAAAGCAUAACCUUUAAAAGAAAAUGUUUGUAAAUUCUACUUUAUUGAAAUUAAAAAUUUCUACUAUUCAAAAGACAAUAUUACAAAAAUGAAAAUGAAAACACGAGCCAUAGAAGGGAGGAAAUAUUUACAAAACACAUAUUUGAUAAGACUUGUGUCUAUAAUAAGACGUCAAUAAUAAGAAAACAAUUUUUUUUUUUUUUGGAAGAGGUCUCUCACUUUGUGGCCCAGGCUGGAGUGCACUGGCGUUAUCAUGGCUCACUGCUGUCUUGACCUCCUCGGCUCAAGCAAUCCUCCCACUUCAGCCUCCCAAGUAGUUGGGACUACAUCACCAUGCCUGGCUAAUUUUGUUGUUGUUGUCGUUGUUUUUGUAGAGAUGGAGUUUUACCAUAUUGCCCAGGCUAGUCUUAAACUCCUGGACUCAAGUGAUCUGCCUGCCUCGGCCUCCCAAAAUGCUGGGAUUACAGGCAUGAGCAACCACACCUGGCCAACAGUAUUUUUAAGUGAGGAAAAAAUAGAAGAUUCCUAUUGUCAAACAUUUGGAAAUCACAGACAUAAUUCACCCAUAAUACAGUUAAUUACUUUUAAAUAAAAAUGUAAAGGGCGAGUCUUCCAGAUUUUCAAUGAAUACAUAUAUUAUUUAUAUUUUAAUUUAUAUUAUCUUACAAUUUGCUUUCUAUUUAUUCAACAGUAAUAUACAAUAUUGAACAUUUUUCUAUAUCCUUUGAUAUCUGCAAGCCUGAUUUUCAGUAGCUGGAAAUGGAAAGGCCAAAUUUAUUAUCUAAUUUUAUACAUUAGGACAUGUGUAUAAUGUCCAAUUUUAUACUGUUAUAAGUCACACUAUGAUGAACAUUUUUGUACAUAACUAACCAUAUUUCAGUUCAUUUCUUUAGGUUAUUAUAUAUCCACAGAUAUGACAUUCAAUUCUAUAAAAAUUAUGUACAUUUUAAUUUAUUUUAUUUUUGUACAUGGGAAGCUCCUAUCUUAACUCAUUAAAUUCAAUAAAUUUUGUAUUUCUACAACAGAAAGCCAACAAAGGGAGUUGUUAGUACAUAUUUCCAGGAAUGAAGUUGUCUGGAUGCAGCUAAUGCCUCCAUAGAACUGACAGUGCUGAAUUUACGAAAUGGAAAGAGUUCUGGAAAAGCAAGAAAAAAAGUCUUGUUUGAAACCCCACGUCUACUGUAGGCACAGAAGGGAAUGGAGGCAUCUGAGCAUUUUAUUUUCCAUCUCUACAGCACCUCAGAACACCUACAUUUUAUUUUUUUUCUUCUCAGAAAUGUCUUAAUAAGAGGACUGCAGUGUACUCAAGUUUCCCAAUGACAGGGUAGGGAUGCCAACCUUCUCUUUCAUUGGCAGCUCAUAGUAUCCAAGUUUCUCAAAACCCUAAGCCAUCUUAUUUGUUCUUUGGAACUUUGUGGCCUACCACAGUGCAAUUCUCAUUCGGUGUUUAAUAAAAUAUUUGUUAGCUCUUUUCUAAUUGAGA